rnacentral:rRNA from 1 species
GAUGAACGCUGGCGGCGUGCUUAACACAUGCAAGUCGAACGGGAAAUAUUUCAUUGAGACUUCGGUGUAUUUGAUCUAUUUCUAGUGGCGGACGGGUGAGUAACGCGUGGGUAACCUGCCUUAUACAGGGGGAUAACAGUCAGAAAUGGCUGCUAAUACCGCAUAAGCGCACAGAGCUGCAUGGCUCAGUGUGAAAAACUCCGGUGGUAUAAGAUGGACCCGCGUUGGAUUAGCUAGUUGGUGGGGUAACGGCCCACCAAGGCGACGAUCCAUAGCCGGCCUGAGAGGGUGAACGGCCACAUUGGGACUGAGACACGGCCCAGACUCCUACGGGAGGCAGCAGUGGGGAAUAUUGCACAAUGGGGGAAACCCUGAUGCAGCGACGCCGCGUGAAGGAAGAAGUAUCUCGGUAUGUAAACUUCUAUCAGCAGGGAAGAUAGUGACGGUACCUGACUAAGAAGCCCCGG